ACGUUUUGCGACUAAAUACACCAUUCUAGCUAGCUGACCAUUAAUUGUCAUUACAAUUUAUGUAAGUUAGGUUAUUUAUACACAUUUUCUGGGACACUCUGUAUAUUGUUUAGUUCGACUGCACGACAGACUACACCAUCCAGCUUUUAACCUCUGAAAUAUAGUGGAUUUGCUAAUGUUGCUAGCUUCGUUGCUAAAUGUUCAUAGAACUGCUUAGUAACCAAAGGGAAAAUAAAUUGUAAGUGUUAGAGAAUAGACACCACGAAAACAGCUGAAUGUUUUAAAACUUUAACGUAUCAAAUUUGGAGUCGUCUGAUGGGGGCGUUUUGCCCAAUCUGCAAAAAUCUAUUUUGAACUUUGAAACAAACUUUUUGACACAUCAGUCAGUGUAGGCUAUGUUUCGUGAUACAACAGCUACAUAGAGGCAGUAUUUAGUCAAAUGUUACUGUACGCAACAAUAUUAAUUGGGACACUAAUUUUCAUUACAGGUAACAAACAAAAAACGUGGGUACACUGUCAAUUUGUGAAGCCUUUCAGUGUCACCUUUCAAUGCCUUAGCUUUGAAUUGUAAACGUUUAUACAUAUUCAGAUGGAGUUAUCGUUCUAUAAUGUGUAUAGUAUGCCAAGUUAAUUAGCUACAUAUACUGUAUUUCCCUCCACUGCAUAGAUAAAGUCAAAAGGAAGCAGUGGAGUGAGGUGGACAUCUUCCAUGCCGUGAAGGACUUUGGGGAUGGGAUGACUAUCCACCAGGCUGCCAGGGUGUAUAGUGUACCUCUGAAAACCCUGACAGACACUCUGAACGGCCAGAUAACCCAUGGUUGUCGCAGUGCACCACCCACAUUGCUUGCACCAGAGGAUGAAAAUUCUCUGGUGCAGUACUAUAUCUACUGCGCUAGCCAUGGGGUUUCCUUUCACCAGACAACGGCUAAUGACACAUCCAACAAAAUAAGCAGGUUUUGGCACCGAGGAGAAACAAUCCCACCACUGGGGAAGAGGUGGUAGGAAAUGUUCAGGAGGAAGCACAAGAAACUGAGCGUGAGGAGGCCAGACACCCUGGACAGGGGGAGAGCUGAGUUUGCCACCCGUCCGAUGAUGGACACCUUCUUCUUGGAGGAGAGUGGGUUGAGGGAGAAACUCAGACAAAUCUCUAACUGCGAUGAGUCUGAGUUUUAUAGCGCCCAGAGCAGGCAAAGUCCUGGCUCUCUGGGGUGCAAAACACGUGUACCAGCAGGCUCCGGGAACCAAGGAGCACUUUAGUGCUGGCCUGCAUCCACGCAGCUGAGGAAGAUGUCCCCCUGUCUCCUUCUCCCCUUCGAUGGGCACAAGAGCCGCAUGGACUCGGAGGUGCUCGCUGCGGCUCAAAGGGAAGGGGUUAUACUACUUUGUCUUCCACCACACUGCACCCAUGUCCAGCAGCCGCUGGAUGUGACAUAUUGUGGCGCUGUAAGGCUGAGUUCUCCAAGGUAGUUGAAGACCUCAGCCAGUUUGACCACUCCUAUAUGGUAAACAAAUCAGAAUUUGCUAGAGUAUUCUUCUACCUGUACCAGCGCUACUAAGACAUGCUGUAUGUGGUGGAAGGGUCCUUACCUUGCUGAAGUAUCAGCGAGACCGAUACAGAAGACUCCCUGUGGUCGCCACAUACCCGACCAGGGAGGAAUACAUGCCCCAGUGGCAGGAGAGGGGUGAGAGGGCAGAGGAGAAUACUGUUGGGCAGCCCUCAGAACAGAGGGCACAGGAGAGGGCUGCCAUGGAUGGGACCAUCGACGCCAUCGCCUAUGCUGGACCCCCCCCACUGGAACCAUACCUGACAGCUGCAUCACCACCGCCCAUGCCUCCCAGUGUGCAACACCUGUAGGAGCAGGCCAUGUGUAUGCUCUCUCCCAGCCACACGAUUGUCGGUUGCUCAAUCCCACCAACACCAGCUUUUCCAAGCCAUCGGCAUCGGGUUUUGUCCACCACCACAAUGCAAACCAGCCCCCCCUGUCUGUCAACCCCGAAACUGCCUCCUCUGGACCAACUGCCUCCUCCAUCUCCCCUGGUCACUGAACCACAGCAGCCUCAUCUGGUAUUCCUGACCACGGCAAUUUGAAUACAGACACCUCUACAGCACAGAAAAGGAAGAGAAAAGCUCUACCGGCCACCUGUCAUGCCACCCAUUGCACCACCCUCAGGUACUUCACAAUCUGUUUGUUUCUCUCUCUCUGUUGUAUCAAUUACUAUUGUUGCUGUAUUGCAAACCAUGUUAAUCAAUGGAGCUUGAUUUUUUAUUGUGAUUUCUGUGAUAAUAUAGAGGUUGAAAUCUAAUUGUUUAUUUGCUUUUUCACAUGCAAU